rnacentral:rRNA from 1 species
AGAGUUUGAUCAUGGCUCAGAUUGAACGCUGGCGGCAGGCCUAACACAUGCAAGUCGAACGGUAACAGGAAGCAGCUUGCUGCUUCGCUGACGAGUGGCGGACGGGUGAGUAAUGUCUGGGAAGCUGCCUGAUGGAGGGGGAUAACUACUGGAAACGGUAGCUAAUACCGCAUAAUGUCGCAAGACCAAAGAGGGGGACCUUCGGGCCUCUUGCCAUCGGAUGUGCCCAGAUGGGAUUAGCUUGUUGGUGGGGUAACGGCUCACCAAGGCGACGAUCCCUAGCUGGUCUGAGAGGAUGACCAGCCACACUGGAACUGAGACACGGUCCAGACUCCUACGGGAGGCAGCAGUGGGGAAUAUUGCACAAUGGGCGCAAGCCUGAUGCAGCCAUGCCGCGUGUAUGAAGAAGGCCUUCGGGUUGUAAAGUACUUUCAGCGGGGAGGAAGGGAGUAAAGUUAAUACCUUUGCUCAUUGACGUUACCCGCAGAAGAAGCACCGGCUAACUCCGUGCCAGCAGCCGCGGUAAUACGGAGGGUGCAAGCGUUAAUCGGAAUUACUGGGCGUAAAGCGCACGCAGGCGGUUUGUUAAGUCAGAUGUGAAAUCCCCGGGCUCAACCUGGGAACUGCAUCUGAUACUGGCAAGCUUGAGUCUCGUAGAGGGGGGUAGAAUUCCAGGUGUAGCGGUGAAAUGUGUAGAGAUCUGGAGGAAUACCGGUGGCGAAGGCGGCCCCCUGGACGAAGACUGACGCUCAGGUGCGAAAGCGUGGGGAGCAAACAGGAUUAGAUACCCUGGUAGUCCACGCCGUAAACGAUGUCGACUUGGAGGUUGUGCCCUUGAGGCGUGGCUUCCGGAGCUAACGCGUUAAGUCGACCGCCUGGGGAGUACGGCCGCAAGGUUAAAACUCAAAUGAAUUGACGGGGGCCCGCACAAGCGGUGGAGCAUGUGGUUUAAUUCGAUGCAACGCGAAGAACCUUACCUGGUCUUGACAUCCACGGAAGUUUUCAGAGAUGAGAAUGUGCCUUCGGGAACCGUGAGACAGGUGCUGCAUGGCUGUCGUCAGCUCGUGUUGUGAAAUGUUGGGUUAAGUCCCGCAACGAGCGCAACCCUUAUCCUUUGUUGCCAGCGGUCCGGCCGGGAACUCAAAGGAGACUGCCAGUGAUAAACUGGAGGAAGGUGGGGAUGACGUCAAGUCAUCAUGGCCCUUACGACCAGGGCUACACACGUGCUACAAUGGCGCAUACAAAGAGAAGCGACCUCGCGAGAGCAAGCGGACCUCAUAAAGUGCGUCGUAGUCCGGAUUGGAGUCUGCAACUCGACUCCAUGAAGUCGGAAUCGCUAGUAAUCGUGGAUCAGAAUGCCACGGUGAAUACGUUCCCGGGCCUUGUACACACCGCCCGUCACACCAUGGGAGUGGGUUGCAAAAGAAGUAGGUAGCUUAACCUUCGGGAGGGCGCUUACCACUUUGUGAUUCAUGACUGGGGUGAAGUCGUAACAAGGUAACCGUAGGGGAACCUGCGGUUG